rnacentral:rRNA from 1 species
GUGUAUGGCCAUAACACCCUGAACGUGCCUGAUCUCAUUUGAUCUCGGAAGCUAAGCAGGGUCGGGUCUGGUUAGUACUUGGAAGGGAGACUUUGGGUAAGUCCCUUCCCCCU